rnacentral:rRNA from 1 species
GACGAACGCUGGCGGCGUGCUUAACACAUGCAAGUCGAACGGAAAGGCCCUGCUUUUGUGGGGUGCUCGAGUGGCGAACGGGUGAGUAACACGUGAGUAACCUGCCCUUGACUUUGGGAUAACUUCAGGAAACUGGGGCUAAUACCGGAUAGGAGCUCCUGCUGCAUGGUGGGGGUUGGAAAGUUUCGGCGGUUGGGGAUGGACUCGCGGCUUAUCAGCUUGUUGGUGGGGUAGUGGCUUACCAAGGCUUUGACGGGUAGCCGGCCUGAGAGGGUGACCGGCCACAUUGGGACUGAGAUACGGCCCAGACUCCUACGGGAGGCAGCAGUGGGGAAUAUUGCACAAUGGGCGGAAGCCUGAUGCAGCAAUGCCGCGUGCGGGAUGACGGCCUUCGGGUUGUAAACCGCUUUCGUCUGUGACGAAGCGUGAGUGACGGUAAUGGGUAAAGAAGCACCGGCUAACUACGUGCCAGCAGCCGCGGUGAUACGUAGGGUGCGAGCGUUGUCCGGAUUUAUUGGGCGUAAAGGGCUCGUAGGUGGUUGAUCGCGUCGGAAGUGUAAUCUUGGGGCUUAACCCUGAGCGUGCUUUCGAUACGGGUUGACUUGAGGAAGGUAGGGGAGAAUGGAAUUCCUGGUGGAGCGGUGGAAUGCGCAGAUAUCAGGAGGAACACCAGUGGCGAAGGCGGUUCUCUGGGCCUUUCCUGACGCUGAGGAGCGAAAGCGUGGGGAGCGAACAGGCUUAGAUACCUGGUAGUCCACGCUGUAAACGGUGGGUACUAGGUGUGGGGUCCAUUCCACGGGUUCCGUGCCGUAGCUAACGCUUUAAGUACCCCGCCUGGGGAGUACGGCCGCAAGGCUAAAACUCAAAGGAAUUGACGGGGCCCCGCACAAGCGGCGGAGCAUGCGGAUUAAUUCGAUGCAACGCGUAGAACCUUACCUGGGUUUGACAUGGAUCGGGAGUGCUCAGAGAUGGGUGUGCCUCUUUUGGGGUCGGUUCACAGGUGGUGCAUGGCUGUCGUCAGCUCGUGUCGUGAGAUGUUGGGUUAAGUCCCGCAACGAGCGCAACCCUUGUUCACUGUUGCCAGCACGUUAUGGUGGGGACUCAGUGGAGACCGCCGGGGUCAACUCGGAGGAAGGUGGGGAUGACGUCAAGUCAUCAUGCCCCUUAUGUCCAGGGCUUCACGCAUGCUACAAUGGCUGGUACAGAGAGUGGCGAGCCUGUGAGGGUGAGCGAAUCUCGGAAAGCCGGUCUCAGUUCGGAUUGGGGUCUGCAACUCGACCUCAUGAAGUCGGAGUCGCUAGUAAUCGCAGAUCAGCAACGCUGCGGUGAAUACGUUCCCGGGGCU